AACGAACGCUGGCGGCAGGCUUAACACAUGCAAGUCGAACGCCCCGCAAGGGGAGUGGCGCACGGGUGAGUAACGCGUGGGAAUAUGCCCUUCGGUUCGGAAUAACACAGGGAAACUUGUGCUAAUACCGGAUACGAUCUACGGAUGAAAGAUUUAUCGCCGAGGGAGUAGCCCGCGUAGGAUUAGCCAGUUGGUGAGGUAAUGGCUCACCAAGGCGACGAUCCUUAGCUGGUCUGAGAGGAUGAUCAGCCACACUGGGACUGAGACACGGCCCAGACUCCUACGGGAGGCAGCAGUGGGGAAUAUUGGACAAUGGGGGAAACCCUGAUCCAGCCAUGCCGCGUGAGUGAUGAAGGCCUUAGGGUUGUAAAGCUCUUUCGCCAGGGAAAAUAAUGACGGUACCUGGAAAAGAAGCCUCGGCUAACUCCGUGCCAGCCGCCGCCGUAA
rnacentral:rRNA from 1 species